GGAAACACAGCUGAAAGGACAGCAAAAACACCACGCAAAGGUGGCAACGCUACCAAGCGUUACGAAGGUUCGAAUCCUUCUGUUUCCA
rnacentral:tRNA from 1 species